CCUGCCUGAUGCUCUUGUUUCUCCCCAGCUGCUGCGACGACCUCUUGCAGAGACGCUUAAGCUGACAAACUUGGCCAGCUCUGGGUUGUUCCUGGUGUUCCCACAGUUUCUCACUCUGGGAAGGAGCGUUAUACAGCUGCAGAGGGAACUGCCCGAGGACAGGCUCUGCUAGGGCCUGAGAUGUGAGAGCUCCACUCCCACUAGAGCUGUCCUAGGUCAGAUCAGGGGUCUGUCUAACCUAGUGUCCUCUUCCUGACAGCAGAUGCCUGGGGAAGGACAGAUGAAGGCAGAGAGCUGGCAGCAGGAGAUCAGGCAGAUGGUCUGCCAGCCUCCAAUGUGUAGUCAGGAAUGUCUUGAGUUUGACAUUGUGCCUCUAUUUUGAAUAACCUUCUGUGGCUUUCAUCCUUCCUGAUUUUGACUCAUCACCGUUUGAACCUCCUAGUGUUCGCUACACCUUGUGGAGGGGCAGCUGGGCAGGAGGCUUCUGCCCUGGGCCAGGAGGUGGGAACAGCUGUCUUGAGGUUGCAUGGGCUUUGUUCAUCUGCGUGCGGGGGCUUGUGGCUCAGAGCACAUACCAGAAAGGAUUGGUGGUAUGUCCCUGCUGUCUCUCUUUUCCAGGUCCCUUGGAGGGACCAGAUACGCCAGAUGUGUCCAGAUUGUGGGUCUGCUGAUCUUCAAGCAGAGAGGAGCAGUGGCACACAGCUGAGAACCAGAUGUCAAGGUGGGCCCUAAGGAGCAAGCCUUGUACAAUGAAAAUAAAGGGUCUGCAAAGCCCUGGUUAUUGGAGUCCCAAGGAACAGCGGUGGGAUGAGUAUGACCUACAUGGGAAGCUCAUGGCAGGAGCGUAUAUUGGGGAAGUCCUGGUCCAGGGAAGGUGAGGAACCAUCAUAUAGCACUGUCCAAGGCUGACAGCCCAUCUGAAGAGGGUCCUGAGGCUUUCUAAGCCCCUCCUCAAACUCCAAAGUGUGUUGGAUUUUGACCAUCGGAGCCCAAAUCCAUGAGCUAUGGUAGAUCUGAGAAAAGUGAUUUCUGAGAGAUCUGAUGCCUUCAGUGCUUAUUUCUCCUUCCUUCUCCUUGCCCAGCCGGGGUAUUGUUGCAAGGUGUCCGUGAUGUUUCUCAGCAGUGUUUCUGAUAUUUGCCAGUAAUGCCUGUGCCUGGUUGCUGGAUGUGUUUGGGAGUGGCUAGCUGGAAUACUCUUAUCUGAGAAAUGUCUUCUGUCAGAUAUUUGUUCUCUGAGAGGAGUUUGGAUUUUCCUUUUCUUUUAAAAACAGGUUUGCUGUGUAAGAGCAUGCAGAAGAUUUGUAUUUUGGCCAUGUUCUGUAAUUUGCUUGAAAUUGUCUGAUCCUGUAAAUAUUCUUCCCAAUAAACUUGAGAGUAUCAACAGAGAGAGCAAA